UUGAUUUCCCUGUGGUGAAGAGUCAUGCGGGAUCCAUUCGCAUUCAUUCGGGUCGAAUUGGUUCUCAUAUAUAAACACAUAACCCGGCUUCCUCCUCACUUUUUCAUCUCGAAUUAGAGUUUCUUAAGCCUCUCUCCCUCUGCUCUCUAAGACUCUUCAUAUAGAUCUGCGUAUAAUCCAUCUAAUUCAAGGUUAGAUACUCCAUAUUGGAAUUAUAAAAUCACGAUGUUUAUCAUUUUUCACGGAGGUUUCUUCCAAAAACGACUCUGCAGUUUCUCCUCUCCAUUUAACUCAUUAGUUUCGUUUCUUUAAACGCUAAUCGAUUAUGCUUUGUCGAAGAACUGAAGAUGUCGAGGAAUAGAUUCAUGGUUUCAAUUUUAUCUCCGAAUGUGGAAUUCUUCGUCAAUGUCGCAACAUCUUUCAAUCGGACCACGAAAUAGCUGAUCUGACUUUAGGCGAUUGAAGUUUUCGUUUACAUAACGUGUGUUGUUGCCGCUUUGACCCGUUCCCUUGCAAUUGUUAAGAUUAAUCUAUGAUAACUGAGUAUUGGUAGUUAUAUUAAUGAUUCUGGAAUGUGAUAUAAUUUGGUGGCGCGCAUCUGACCGGUAAGAUUUGGGCUUUAUAAUUUCAUAAGAUAAUCCAUCUGUUGUUUCAUCAAUAAAUAUUACAUAUGUAGUAUAAAUAACAUGUUUUUGAAUGUUGAUAGGUUAUUUUAAAUAGCUGUUAUUUUCAUCGAGGGACUCGAACAUACCCGUUGAUUAAAGAUUUUUUGUGGUGUAAAGAAGUUGUAAAAUAAAGAUUUCAAGCAAUUUUAUUGCAGGUACCAGAUGAGGAAACCACAUUUAAUGCCCCCAAUAAGCAAGAACACAUGGACUAGAAUUUUAGAUUUCGUUUGACGUGAGCAGAGUUGGUAUUUUCAUAUCUGGCUGCUAUCAGUUCAUAUUAAAUUUUUAGACGAACUAAUUAUAAAAUAAAACCAAUGCUUUCCAAGCUUUCAUCAACCAAUGCAUGUGUAGUAACACCAAACACGACAUAUGUUUUAUCUCAUUUUUGUGUUGGAGCAAGAAAAGCAAGGUAUUGUUUUCUUGGUGUUUGAUAAAGACAACCCUAAGGGUUGUUUUUAAAGUUGAUUUUUAUGCUUUAUUAUAGUUUCACUAUAUGGUUAAUGGUUUUGGGUGGUUGAUGAUUGAUGGUUAAAGUAUCACCAUUUAACCGACGAUUUGAUCUCAGUUGAUGGUCGUAGGCUACAGUCCAUCACAUGGCAUAAAGGAAGAGGGGGAUGGUGGUUUUGAAAGUCGAUGGUAUCAGGUAAGUUUUGUCCAUGUUAUUACCGUAAAUUAUCAAUUUUAUUGCUCGAUCCAUGUAUGACGGUAAUCUAUUUAAAACGAUGAUUAUGUUGGAAAUCAUAAAGCAUAGAGAUGCUAUAGAUAUAUUGCAGCCAUGGAGGCCAUGAAAGAGGUUUCGGUUGCCGAAAGCAUGCUUCAAGGUAUAAGGUACAUAAUUUGUGGGUUUAGCUUACGAAUAUGUAAAAGCUACAAUCAUGUAUAUUGUAUUAGACCUGAUAACACUUUAUUAUUAGAACUCAGCUACUUCCAGGAAGCAUGGCAUUGUAAACUUGAGGAAGUUGAACCCGUUGAGUCGUUUAGGGUAAUAAAAAAUAUGCUAAUUGGUAUAAUAUGUUUCAUGAGUAGAUUCUUACUGUAAUAUUAUAUUAAUAUUAUUUUUAACCCAUUCAAUUGUGAUAAUAUUAUUUAAAAAAGGUCGAAAGUGCCCCAUGUGCAUUUAAGGCUCAUGUCUUGAAAUUAGUAUAAAUUUUUGCAAUACUAAUUAUUUUAGUAUUCUGGGUUUACCCAACCUGACCCGUUUUGAUGGGCACAAAACUAUUUGUUUUGACUCGACCAUUUUACCAAGAGUUUUAUGAUUGCAUGUAUUUUUACCAUCUUUUCUUCAGCCACCAUUCACACAUUCUAACACAAAGAAACUUCAGGAAAAGAUUGACAACUAAAAAGUGAAGUUGCUACCGUGGUUAAGUGGUGAAGCUCACUCUUUGCUUAAAGGGUUGUUGCAAAAGUACCCGACACUAAGGCUUGGAAGCUGGACUCGAGGUUGUCAUGAUAUCAAAAAUCAUAAAUGGGUCAACGAAAUAGCAAGUGAAUCUUAAAGAAAAACUGGUUUGAAGAUGGGUAUAAAUUUCAAAGCAGACUAGACUCACUUUAUCAGCACCAGAGAUGGACACCAUAUUUCUACUCAGGUUAAAUGGGCUCUUGAGUGGAAACAGGCGCUGACCUAGGAUGAAGUUGAGGAUGAGGUGCAUCUAAUUUUGGGGCUGCUGCAUAUUACGCAUAUUAAGGACGAGCUGGACAGGUUGGGUUGGCUGUACCGGGGAAUGUUGGCGGAGUUCACAUUAAAACAAAUCAGAUUUUAGUUUACUAGGGGUCCAAAUAAUAAUACGGGUCAUAACAGGUUCUACUGGAAUAAGAUUGCAGUUCCAAAAGUUAGUUGUUUUGUUUGGAUAGCGGUCAACGGCUAUGGCCUUUGUGGCGAGGGCCGUUGAGAUGGGAAAUGUCCCAUGUAUGGUAUACGGGAUGAGACUGUAGAUCAUUUACUUGCAGGUUGUAUAAGUGCUAGAGCGAUAUGUUGGAGCAUGCUCUUAAAAUGAACAAACCAGCAAAGGAGAACCUAUUAUCUAUAUGUUUUUCUUAAUGACCAUUUGGAAGAUGUGUACGCGUCGAAAUGACAAGGCUUUUAGAGAAAAAGUAUGUCCUGAUGCAAAAGUUUUGUUAGAGGAAAAGUCUGUUCUUGAUGACCAUUUGGAAGAUGCGGACGCGUCAAAGUGCGGGUCUGUCCUUGAAUAGCUGGAGCAAUUUUGAUGUUGGUUUAUAACGUUCAUGCGGGUUUUAGCAUUAUUUUUUUUUUUUGGAUUAUGUAAGUUUAUUUUUUUUGAGUUUUUUUGGGUUGUAUGCUCUAUCUUAGCUUCUGGCUAAGAUAGAGUUUGUGAGGUUCUUAAAUAAAUUUGUCUCCUUUGCUUAGGCAAAAAUAAUGUUAUUAAGUUUUAUGUUUGUUAUUAA